AUUGAACGCUGGCGGCAGGCCUAACACAUGCAAGUCGAGCGGUUGAAGGGGGCUUGCUGCUGGAUUCAGCAGCGGACGGGGGAGUGAGGCCUAGGAAUCUGCCUGUGAGUGGUGGAGAACGUCCGGAAACGGGCGCUAAUACCACAUACGUCCUGAGGCAGAAAGUGGGGGAGCUGCGGACCUCACGCUCUCAGAUGAGCCUAGGUCGGAUUAGCUAGUUGGUGGGGUAAAGGCCUACCAAGGCGACGAUCCGUAACUGGGCCGAGAGGAUGAUCAGUCACCCUGGAACUGAGACCAGGUCCAGACUCCUACGGGAGGCAGCAGUGGGGAAUAUUGGACAAUGGGCGGAAGCCUGAUCCAGCCAUGCCGCGUGUGUGAAGAAGGUCUUCGGAUUGUAAAGCACUUUAAGUUGGGAGGAAGGGCAGUAAGUUAAUACCUUGCUGUUUUGACGUUACCAACAGAAAAAGCCCCGGCUAACUUCGUG
rnacentral:rRNA from 1 species